rnacentral:rRNA from 1 species
UACAGAGGUCUCAAGCGUUGUUCGGAUUCAUUGGGCGUAAAGGGUGUGUAGGUGGCGCCGUAAGUCGGGUGUGAAAUUUCGGAGCUUAACUCCGAAACUGCAUUCGAUACUGCGGUGCUUGAGGACUGGAGAGGAGACUGGAAUUCAUGGUGUAGCAGUGAAAUGCGUAGAUAUCGAGAGGAACACCCAGUGGCGAAGGCGAGUCCCUGGACAACACCUGACACUGAGGCACGAAAGCCCGGGGGGAGCAAACAGG